GUCCCCGUAGCUCAGUCGGUAGAGCAGCAGUCUUGUGUUAUCCUUAGCCCUAGCGUAGUAUCCUUAAGCUGUUGGUCGUCAGUUCGAGUCUGACCGGGGACA
rfam:Colletotrichum gloeosporioides Nara gc5 unplaced genomic scaffold scaffold15, whole genome shotgun sequence.